rnacentral:misc_RNA from 1 species
GAUGAAGAACUCAGCGAAAUGCGAUAAGUAAUGCGAAUUGCAGAAUUCAGUGAGUCAUCGAAUCUUUGAACGCACAUUGCGCCCUGUGGUAUUCCGCAGGGCAUGCCUGUUCGAGCGUCAUUUCAACCCUCAAGCUCUGCUUGGUGUUGGGCCCUGCCCGCUGCGGCCGGCCCUAAAGACAGUGGCGGUGCCGCCUGGCCCUGAGCGUAGUACAUCUCUCGCUCCAGUGCCCGGUGGUAGCCUGCCAGAACCCCAACUCUCGUGGUUGACCUCGGAUCAGGUAGGGAUACCCGCUGAACUUAAGCAUAUCAAUAAGCGGAGGA